rnacentral:misc_RNA from 1 species
UGUAAAAAAACAAAUUUAAAGGAAAAAAAAAAUUAACGCUUAAGAAAUGCAAGGUCAAAUGUAAAGUUUGACUAGGUUAACAACACAAGCCAUUACUUGAGAGACAAAGUUGACCAUGAUUUUCAAAAAUGAAACUGCAAACACAUCUGCAGGCUCCAAACCAGAAAGUAUGAGUUUUAGUAUUAACAUAGUUGAAGUCAACUUUUGAACAGCCUUUAUCGAGUUCUUUCAAUUUAUUACAAACUCCAGACAUGAUGAUGUUGUCUUAUACAAAUGCCAAUACUAUUUGUUUUCACCAUCCACCAUUAACAAAGAAAGGCAAAAGUUGGGAUUAAACUGAAACCUGUUAUUCAAUCGGCAGGAAAAUCCUAUAAACACCUAUGUCAUCUACGUAUCUUAGGGAGAAAUUAUUAUGAAAUUAUUGUUGACAAUUAAUAAAA